rnacentral:rRNA from 1 species
AGUGAACGCUGGCGGUAGGCCUAACACAUGCAAGUCGAACGGCAGCACAGUAAGAGCUUGCUCUUACGGGUGGCGAGUGGCUGACGGGUGAGGAAUACAUCGGAAUCUACUUUUUCGUGGGGGAUAACGUAGGGAAACUUACGCUAAUACCGCAUACGACCUACGGGUGAAAGCAGGGGAUCUUCGGACCUUGCGCGAUUGAAUGAGCCGAUGUCGGAUUAGCUAGUUGGCGGGGUAAAGGCCCACCAAGGCGACGAUCCGUAGCUGGUCUGAGAGGAUGAUCAGCCACACUGGAACUGAGACACGGUCCAGACUCCUACGGGAGGCAGCAGUGGGGAAUAUUGGACAAUGGGCGCAAGCCUGAUCCAGCUAUACCGCGUGGGUGAAGAAGGCCUUCGGGUUGUAAAGCCCUUUUGUUGGGAAAGAAAAGCAGCAGGUUAAUACCCCGCUGUUCUGACGGUACCCAAAGAAUAAGCACCGGCUAACUUCGUG